rnacentral:tRNA from 1 species
UGGGGUAUGGUGUAACGGUAGCACAGCAGUCUCUGAAUCUGCUUGUCUAGGUUCAAAUCCUAGUACCCCAG